rnacentral:rRNA from 1 species
CUGGAGGACCGAACCGACUAAUGUUGAAAAAUUAGCGGAUGACUUGUGGCUGGGGGUGAAAGGCCAAUCAAACCGGGAGAUAGCUGGUUCUCCCCGAAAGCUAUUUAGGUAGCGCCUCGUGAACUCAUCUUCGGGGGUAGAGCACUGUUUCGGCUAGGGGGUCAUCCCGACUUACCAACCCGAUGCAAACUACGAAUACCGAAGAAUGUUAUCACGGGAGACACACGGCGGGUGCUAACGUCCGUCGUGAAGAGGGAAACAACCCAGACCGCCAGCUAAGGUCCCAAAGUCAUGGUUAAGUGGGAAACGAUGUGGGAAGGCCCAGACAGCCAGGAUGUUGGCUUAGAAGCAGCCAUCAUUUAAAGAAAGCGUAAUAGCUCACUGGUCGAGUCGGCCUGCGCGGAAGAUGUAACGGGGCUAAACCAUGCACCGAAGCUGCGGCAGCGACACUAUGUGUUGUUGGGUAGGGGAGCGUUCUGUAAGCCGUUGAAGGUGGCCUGUGAGGGUUGCUGGAGGUAUCAGAAGUGCGAAUGCUGACAUAAGUAACGAUAAUGCGGGUGAAAAACCCGCACGCCGGAAGACCAAGGGUUCCUGUCCAACGUUAAUCGGGGCAGGGUGAGUCGACCCCUAAGGCGAGGCCGAAAGGCGUAGUCGAUGGGAAACAGGUUAAUAUUCCUGUACUNNNNNNNNACAAAUGCCCUGCUUCCAGGAAAAGCCUCUAAGCAUCAGGUAACAUCAAAUCGUACCCCAAACCGACACAGGUGGUCAGGUAGAGAAUACCAAGGCGCUUGAGAGAACUCGGGUGAAGGAACUAGGCAAAAUGGUGCCGUAACUUCGGGAGAAGGCACGCUGAUGGUAGGUGAAGCGACUUGCUCGUGGAGCUGAAAUCAGUCGAAGAUACCAGCUGGCUGCAACUGUUUAUUAAAAACACAGCACUGUGCAAACACGAAAGUGGACGUAUACGGUGUGACGCCUGCCCGGUGCCGGAAGGUUAAUUGAUGGGGUUAUCCUCGCGGAGAAGCUCUUGAUCGAAGCCCCGGUAAACGGCGGCCGUAACUAUAACGGUCCUAAGGUAGCGAAAUUCCUUGUCGGGUAAGUUCCGACCUGCACGAAUGGCGUAAUGAUGGCCAGGCUGUCUCCACCCGAGACUCAGUGAAAUUGAACUCGCUGUGAAGAUGCAGUGUACCCGCGGCAAGACGGAAAGACCCCGUGAACCUUUACUAUAGCUUGACACUGAACACUGGUCCUUGAUGUGUAGGAUAGGUGGGAGGCUUUGAAGUGUGGACGCCAGUCUGCAUGGAGCCAUCCUUGAAAUACCACCCUUUAAUGGCUGGUGUUCUAACGUGGGCCCGUAAUCCGGGUUGCGGACAGUGUCUGGUGGGUAGUUUGACUGGGGCGGUCUCCUCCUAAAGAGUAACGGAGGAGCACGAAGGUCAGCUAAUCCUGGUCGGACAUCAGGAGGUUAGUGCAAUGGCAUAAGCUGGCUUGACUGCGAGCGUGACGGCGCGAGCAGGUGCGAAAGCAGGUCAUAGUGAUCCGGUGGUUCUGAAUGGAAGGGCCAUCGCUCAACGGAUAAAAGGUACUCCGGGGAUAACAGGCUGAUACCGCCCAAGAGUUCAUAU